CAGAUACUAACACAGUGCAGUACUACACAGAUAGUACACAGUCCAGUACUACACAGAUACUAACACAGUCCAGUACUACACAGAUAGUACACAGUCCAGUACUACACAGAUAGUACACAGUCCAGUACUACACAGAUAGUACACAGUCCAGAACUACACAGAUAGUACACAGUCCAGUACCAGACAGAUAGUACACAGUCCAGUACUACACAGAUACUAACACAGUGCAGUACUACACAGAUAGUACACAGUCCAGUACUACACAGAUACUAACACAGUCCAGUACUACACAGAUAGUACACAGUCCAGUACUACACAGAUACUAACACAUCCAGUACUACACAGAUACUAACACAGUCCAGUACUACACAGAUAGUACACAGUCCAGUACUACACAGAUACUAACACAGUCCAGUACUACACAGAUAGUACACAGUCCAGUACUACACAGAUAGUACACAGUCCAGAACUACACAGAUAGUACACAGUCCAGUACCAGACAGAUAGUACACAGUCCAGUACUACACAGAUACUAACACAGUGCAGUACUACACAGAUAGUACACAGUCCAGUACUACACAGAUACUAACACAGUCCAGUACUACACAGAUACUAACACAGUCCAGUACUACACAGAUAGUACACAGUCCAGUACUACACAGAUAGUACACAGUCCAGUACUACACAGAUAGUACACAGUCCAGUACUACACAGAUACUAACACAGUCCAGUACUACACAGAUACUAACACAGUCCAGUACUACACAGAUACUAACACAGUCCAGUACUACACAGAUACUUCCUUAGUGCUUAGCGUUUGCAGUCUAAUAAAGUAUUCUCUCCUCCACCGUUCUAGGUGGUACUGUCAGAGCAUCACCAGAUCGGAGGCUGAACAAUUGUUACGAAAAGAGGUCCCAGUCCAUAUUUUUUUUUCUUUCUUUCUUCCAUCAAUCGAUCAAUUGGCCAGACUGUCUGUUUGUCUAUCUGUUUCUCCUGGUGCUGUAAAUCUGUAGAUAAUCUACAAUUGUUCGUUUAAUCUUUACAGGCUAAAGAGGGAGGUUUUGUGGUGAGGGAGUCUAGUCAACAAGGCUGUUACACUGUCUCAGUGUUCACUAAAGCUCUGGGGUAAGUACCUUUAUCCAAAAAGCAAUUUAAUAAAUACAUUAUAUGGACCAGGUGGAAAAUCAAUCCCUAUGCUUUAACACAUUGAACCAUCUCUUUCUCUCUCUCUUUCUCUCUCUCUCUCUCUCUCUCUGUGUCUCUCUCUCUUUCUCUCUGUCUCUCUCUCUCUCUCUCUCUCUCUUUCUCUCUGUCUCUCUCUCUCUCUCUCCAUCCAUCUGUCUUUCUCUGUCUCUCUCUCUCUCUCUCUCUCUCUCUCUCUCCAUCC
rnacentral:lncRNA from 1 species